AAGACUAUACUUCACAGGAUCAUUUCUGUAGUCAGUCUUCACAUACUUUCACACUAGCUGAAAGCCGUACGCACCCGCGUUGAUGAGUUGAAUCGUUUUAUUCGGCAGCGUGAGGAAAUGUCCUUUCUUUUCAAUGUGAUGCACUGCAUCAUUCGAAGAAUUGGGCUUCGAUGAUCGCUCGGUUUGAACGGAUAGAACGAAUUCUGAGUGGU